CUAAGCCUUAUCACUUUCUUUCUUUUUAUAUGGUUCUUCCUUUCUUUCCUUUUUAGGGUUUCUUCUUGGCGGAGCUUUUCUUUAACGAGGGUUAGGGAUUCUCUUGGAAUUCUUCAUCCCAACCCUGUCUCCUGACUUUUCCCAACCUGAUCCUUGUGUGGAAUAGGAUAGAUAGAUUUGUUUUUGGUUCGGAGAUGAUCCGAGUAUCUGGAGGGUUUGGGAGAUUGUGCUGCUGGAGAUUCGAGCUUAUUCGUAGGGGGAAAUGGCGAGCGGAGCGCCUAUAAGCACGGAGCUGGAGCAGAAUGAUGGCGAAAUCCGGGACAUAUUCCGUGCCCUCCAAAAUGGAUUCCAGAAAUUGGAUAAGAUUAAGUAUCCUAAGUCCUAACAGAGUCUAAGCAGUUGGAGGAUCUUACUGGGAAGAUGAGGGAAUGUAAGCGGCAGGUUAAUUAAAGAGUUUGAUUGUGAAAUUAAGGAUCAGGAGAGUCGAAAUACUCCUGAUGUUAGUAAGCAGCUCAAUGAGAAGAAGCAAACCAUGAUCAAGGAGCUGAACUUGUAUGUGGCCAUGAGAAAAACAUAUCAAAAUAGCCUUGGUAAUCAAAGAGUUGAACUCUUUGAUAUGGGUGCUGGAGGUAGUGAUCCUGCAACUGAGAACUCUUUGAUAUGAAACUGUCGGUUGUGAACCCAAAUAAUAAGAACAUCAGAGAUAUAAUACCUGGCUUGUCCCCACCUGCUCCCACUGCAAGGAGAUUGCUGUCAGAAGAGCUUUGGGGAGUUUAGAGUAACUUUGGCAUUUGAGCAAGAGCCUGUUUGGCUGAUGAUCCAUCUUAUAUCUUAUAAGGUUUCUUUCCCUGUUGGUUGAUAUUAUUAUUAUUAUUAUUAUUUUAAUUCGAGAUCCUAGAUGUUGGAAUCCAUAUGUUUGGAUUCACAGCAUGGUGUGAUGUGCUGUUGGUUUGUUACGUGUAUGAUAUGCCAGUUUUUUUUUUGUUGUAUCAUCUUCCCUCUAUAUCGUACUUUCAUUCUCUCAGAGUGCAAGAUAGUUUUGAGUUUUUCUUUUCUUUUUUGCAUUGUGCAACCCAGUGUUGUAUUUAUCUCUAGGCAGCUUUCUACGGGCUGCCUUACGAGACGAAAAAGUGGGGAACCACCAAUGUUACUAAAUUUCGUGUCAGCAACGUUCAUCUGCGGUCCUCACUGUGAUUACCAUGUAUGUGAAAAUAUCUAUCUAAUCGUUGAUUGUUGCAUAGUACUUUCUACGGUAGACUAUGGAUUCCGGUGAGCAAAUAAUCAAUCAAAUGACAUGUUACUCCCUAGAGCUUGAUGGAUUGGAGGACCAAAUUUUGUCCGGACUGAGCACAGAACAGAAAGAAACGCUCUAUAGAAACUGCAACACACGAGUAUUAUUUUUCUUCAACUUGACACACGGCAUAACAUCAGUGACUCCAAACAAAUCCCAUAUAGCCUCGUCCUUUUUUUCUUUUUCUUUCCCUUUCUAAUCAAACUUAUCCUCUUGCACGAAACUAACUAGAAUGGAGCGGUAUCUUAAACACUGGAGUUCUGGUGCAGCAAAUGGCAAUGAUGCAGACACACAAUCUGCCACCACCUAAAAAGAUAGAUAGAUAGAUAGA